rnacentral:rRNA from 1 species
UACAGAGGUGGCAAGCGUUGUUCGGAAUUACUGGGCGUAAAGGGCGAGUAGGCGGCCUUCUAAGUCAGACGUGAAAUCCCCCGGCUUAACCUGGGAACUGCGUCUGAUACUGGGAGGCUUGAGUAUGGGAGAGGGAUGUAGAAUUCCAGGUGUAGCGGUGAAAUGCGUAGAUAUCUGGAGGAAUACCGGUGGCGAAGGCGGCAUCCUGGACCGGCAUUGACGCUGAGGAGCGAAAGCUAGGGGAGCAAACGGG